rnacentral:misc_RNA from 1 species
UCUCCGUAGGUGAACCUGCGGAGGGAUCACUACAGGCUUGCAAAAGCUCUGAAACCACUGUUUUUCCACCUUAAUCUGCUUCGGCCGGGCGCCCCAGGGCGGGGUCGUUUCCCACACGUGGUCGCCCAAGGACCCUAAACUCCGUCCUCUUGAGAAUCCGUGCGUAUCACAUUAAUUUAUAAAACCACUUUCAACAACGGCUCUCUUAGCUUUGGCAUCGCUGAAAAACUCAGAAGAAACGAAGAACAACCCUCUGAACCCCAGUCACUCGUAUCAACC